GGAGAGGUGCCAGAGUGGUUGAAUGGGGCGGUCUCGAAAACCGUUGAGGAUGUAAGUCCUUCUAGAGUUCGAAUCUCUACCUCUCCG
rnacentral:tRNA from 1 species